GUCCAGACUCCUACGGGAGGCAGCAGUGAGGAAUAUUGGUCAAUGGGCUUACGCCUGAACCAGCCAAGUCGCGUGAGGGAAGACUGCCCUAUGGGUUGUAAACCUCUUUUGUCAGGGAGCAAUUGGCGCUACGUGUAGCGUUAUCGAGAGUACCUGAAAAAAAAGCGUCGGCUAACUCCGUGCCAGCAGCCGCGGUAAUACGGAGGAUGCGAGCGUUAUCCGGAUUUAUUGGGUUUAAAGGGUGCGCAGGCGGUCUGUUAAGUCAGCGGUCAAAGCCCGGGGCUCAACCCCGGCCUGCCGUCGGAACUGGGUGCCUUGAGUGGGCGAGAAGUAUGCGGAAUGCGUGGUGUAGCGGUGAAAUGCAUAGAUAUCACGCAGAACCCCGAUUGCGAAGGCAGCAUACCGGCGCCCUACUGACGCUGAGGCACGAAAGUGCGGGUAUCGAACAGGAUUAGAUACCCUUGUAAG
rnacentral:rRNA from 1 species